rnacentral:rRNA from 1 species
UUGACCUCGGAUCACG